CACCAUCUAGCUCCCUGGCUUUCUCUUGCCCCUCCUAAAUAUAGCAAAAUCUUACCUUUAUUUCAGUCUGCUGCUGCUGGCUCUGCCCUUGAUCUGACUGCAUGGCUGACAUCAUCAGAUGUGAGGAUCUGAGCCAAUCACAAUGCCUUCACAUAUGCAGGGCAGGCCCGCCCAUUGGUCCCGGUGGCUCCAGGUGGCUCUUUCACAGGGGUGGCAUUUUGCCGCCACUGUACGUUUAAG